UUCCCAAAAGUCACACCCUUCGUGCAAGUAAUCUACCGUCUCUUUCCCUUCUUUCUCCCAAUCUAAUUGGUUACAUACUUUCUAUAUUGAUCCGACGGACCCAUUUCCGUGACCCAACCCAUUAAUUUUCUUCAGGCCAUUUGAUUUUGAGCUCUCUCUUAUACCACUCUGCCGCCCUUUCGAAUCAUCUUUUUGACGGUUCGGAGUCGCAGUAUUUCGGGUCCCUUUGAUUGCAACGACAUUUAGCAGCUCCAGACAAUCACUCCGUUGCCAAUCCUGGUGAAUGGUGUACUUGCGGCUGAGGGUGGUAUUCUCUUUUAUUAUUCAGUCCUAUAGUCGGGUAUUAGUGGUGAAACAACUUUUCAACCUCGGAUCAGCAGCUAUGCUUGCUAUUCAGACUGGGACAACUGGUAUCAUUGUGUGCUCACUAACUCGAUUUUGUGCCUCUGAAAAUCAUGGCUCUUGAAGAGGCAAGGACGAAUGGACCAAUAAAUUCUGUAAAUCGCUUGUAUAUUUGUUCGCGGCAUUGUUCCAUACCAGAAACAGAAGUCCAAAUCAACAAGGUCUCAUCCCCAAAAGUUUCUUAAUGCAAAUUUGGAUCGAAGAAGGGAGCACCCUCACCGUUAGGGAUACUCCAUUCGCUAUGGCAUUUCAAAAGGGUAGUGAUGAGCUCGAGCGAUACCGGGAUCAGACUUUGACACGGGACAUCCCUAGCAACUUAAGGGAUUUCCAAUACAGAGGGGAAUUUUUGCACUAUGAACUUGCCAAGAGCAUGGGAGUUAGUCUUUCUAGAUAUUUUCCUUUGUUCUUUGAGCGGCGGCCUGUUGCUCUGUUUGAACUACUCACUACUUCAAGAGACUCACUCUUUCCCAUAAAUGAGUUCAUGGAGAUUAAAGAAGAACUGCAGAAAAUUGGCUUGGAAACCUUAUUCAGCAUGGGAUUUGAUUUUGCCGCACAAGUGCAAAUGCAAGUUUCUGCUCAAGAAAAUGAGCAAGCUUUGGUUACUGCACCCGUACCCUUGCUAACCUCAAAAGGAAACCAACAGAAUUUCGUUUCUGGUCAAGAAAAUGAGCAAGCUUUGAUUGCUGCACCCUCACCCUUGCUAACCUCAAAAGGAAACCAACAGAAUUUCGUUUCUGGUCAAGAAAAUGAGCAAGCUUUGAUUGCUGCACCCUCACCCUUGCUAACCUCAAAAGGAAACCAACAGAAUUUGAUACCUAGUCAAGGAAAUGAGCAAGCUUUGUUUGUUGCACCCUCACCCUUGCUAGCCUCAAAAGGAAACCAACAGAAUUUGAUUUUUGGUCCCUUGCUAACCUCAAAAGGAAAAGAGUAAGAGGGAGAUAAUGUUCUUCCCCCAUUUGGUUAUUAUCCCAUGGUUGUUGCAACCCUGGUCAACCCCAAGACCAACAAGGUCUUUGACUAGAAAGAGUCACACUUCUCCAUCCUCCAGUUGAGAAAAUAUAUUGAGGGAGUUUUUGGGUAGACAGUAUCUAGUAUAGGGUUCGAUAUCUUUGCACUUAAUGAAAAUGAAGAGAGGGUCAAGAUGUUAGAUUGUGACACUCUAGUAAAAGAAUUCUUAGAUAACAACCGAUUUAUGUACCAUGUGGAGGUCGAGAGGGUCGAUCUAAGAGGGCAGCCUGAACCUAAAAAUGGGACCUUUGACAUUCUACCCGGAGAUUUUUUAAAGAUUUACGACGCCAUUCAAAAGAUUCCUCAUUACAACACACAUGCAGCAAAAGACACAAAGAUGCAGAAGUUGUUUAGGACGUCUAGAAAAACCAUUACAAGAUGGCGUGACAAGUUUAUCCCGGCUCCAUCGAAGAGACAGAAAAGUGGAGAACAUUCACAAGAAGCCGACUCUGGUCGGCCACAAGAAUUGGCGCCGACGGCUAUUGUUCCACCUUCAUUGCCUCCUUUUGGCACCUCUUCUCAACUGGUGUUGGUGCCUACCAACAUUGAUAAGCCACAAGGAUUGCUACCGCCCUCUAUGGUUCCGCAAGUCCCGGCUACUAACACUCUUUCCCAGCCACCAGGACUUUUAACCUCUGCCCCUAACUUCAUUCCUCACAUUUGACCCUCAACCCUCAACAAAUGUUUGGCAAUUUAUGGACUCUACCAAAUGUGGGGUAUGACAAGUCCACCACAACCACAAGCACCGGUGUACCUUUAGGCACGUUUGCUUACAUAUAUAGUAUGACAUCUUUGUCGUCUUUUAA